UUUUUAAAAAUAGCUUAACACUUAUUGUUUACAAAAUCUUUAUUUAAAGAACCAACUAAUAUAGAAAGAAAGUAUUAGUUAAAAAACUCAUAUUAAUAUAAGCUAUAUAGAAAAAGUACUGUCUAGGAAAUUUAGUGAGGAUAAAAUUAGUAUUUAUAAAUUAAUGUACCUCGUGUAUUAGGGAAAAUUUAAAUAAAUCUAAUAUAAAAGAUAUUCUCGAAAUUAGGAAAGCUAAGUUCUAAGAAAGUUUCUGUGUAAUAAUAAUUUGAAAUAAGAAUUUAAAAGUGAAAUGCUAGUUGUGCCUUAUAAUAUCUAGUUUCUUAAAAAUUAAAUUUAAUUUAGCUUUAAACGUGAUUUAAGUUUAAAAGUAAAAGUAAAGGGGAUAAGCUCUUUAUAAAUUUAAAUUUAUAAUAGAUUAAUAAAAGACCAAAUGAUUUCUAAGCUUAAAAGUAGCUAUGAAUAUAAAGUGUUUUAACUAAUUUUUAUAAGGAAAAAAUUUGAUUAAUCUUUGAUUAAAAUUAAGAUAUUGAAAAAAUUAAAAGAUAAAAAGUAAAAAUUAUUUUAUUAGUAGCUAAAAUUUUGUAAAAAAAAAAAAUAAAAUCAAGAUAUAAUUUUUUAUAUAUAAAAGGUAAUAAAAAGGAACUCAGCAAAAUAUUUCUUUGCCUGUUUAUCAAAAACAUGUCUGCAUGAGAGGUAUCUGCAGUCUAGCCUGCCCACUGAGUAAAAUGUGACUUAAAGGGCCGCGGUAUAUUGACCGUGCAAAGGUAGCAUAAUCAUUAGUUUUUUAAUUGGAAACUUGUAUGAAUGGCUGAACAAAAGAAUUACUGUCUCUUUGUCUAAUAUUGAAUUUAACUUUUAAGUGAAAAGGCUUAAAUAAUUUAAGGGGACGAUAAGACCCUAUAAAGCUUUAUAAUGAAAUAAUAUUUUAUAAAUAUAAUUUAUAAAAAUAAAUUAAAAUAACCUUAUUUUGUUGGGGCGACAUAGAUAUAAAUAUAUUUCGUAACUGUCAAAAAAUUAUACAUAAAUUUUUGAAUAAUAAAAUGAUCCUUAUUUUAAAGAUUAAGAGACUAAGUUACUUUAGGGAUAACAGCGUUAUUUCUUUUGAGAGUUCGUAUUGAAAAAGAAGUUUGCGACCUCGAUGUUGAAUUAAAGAAUCUUUAUAGUGCAGCCGUUAUAAGAAGAAGGUCUGUUCGACCUUUAAAUCUUUACAUGAUUUGAGUUCAAACCGGCGUAAGCCAGGUUGGUUUCUAUCUCUUAAAAAAAAAAAGUUAUUUUAGUACGAAAGGAUUAAAUAACUAGAAGAAUUCUAUAUCUGAAAUUAGAAAAAUUAUAUUAUAAAUAAUAUAAUCUUUAAUAAAAAUUAAAAAUAAUAAAAA
rnacentral:rRNA from 1 species